rnacentral:rRNA from 1 species
UACGUAGGUGGCGAGCGUUGUCCGGAUUUACUGGGCGUAAAGAGCGCGCAGGCGGUCGUACAAGUCGCGUGUGAAAGCCCCCGGCUCAACUGGGGAGGGUCACGCGAUACUGUUCGACUCGAAGGCAGGAGAGGGAAGCGGAAUUCCCGGUGUAGUGGUGAAAUGCGUAGAGAUCGGGAGGAACACCAGUGGCGAAGGCGGCACCCUGGACCAGCACUGACACUGAGGCACGAAAGCGUGGGGAGCAAACAGG